GAUGAACGCUAGCGGCAGGCUUAACACAUGCAAGUCGAGGGGCAGCGCGGGAUAGCAAUAUCCUGGCGGCGACCGGCGGAAGGGUGCGUAACGCGUGAGCGACAUGCCCGUUGCCCGGGGACAACCGGUGGAAACGCCGACUAAUCCCCGAUGGGAUAUUGUGCCGCAUGGCACGAUAUUGAAAGUUACGGCGGCGACGGAUUGGCUCGCGUCCGAUUAGCUUGUUGGCGGGGUAACGGCCCACCAAGGCUGCGAUCGGUAGGGGUUCUGAGAGGAAGGCCCCCCACAAUGGGACUGAGACACGGCCCAUACUCCUACGGGAGGCAGCAGUGAGGAAUAUUGGUCAAGGGGCGGAAGCCUGAACCAGCCAUGCCGCGUGCGGGAAGGAGGCCCUAUGGGCUGUGAACCGCUUUUGCCUGGGGGCAAUAAGGGCGUCGCGCACGUCCGAUGAGAGUACCAGGCGAAUAAGCAUCGGCUAACUCCGUG
rnacentral:rRNA from 1 species